UUUGAUCGGAGGAUUAUCAUCCCGGCAAUAUGAUGGAGUUAAACAUUGGAUGCCGAAGCAAGAACCACGUGAGGCCUGUGUUUUUGCCACCGCGAGAAAACAUGAAUCGAUCACGGUCCGUCUGAGAUGCAGCUCGAAGAUAACGUGAACUAUGCACAUUGUCCAGCUACAGAUUAAGAUGCUUAGUAUGAUUAAUCAUCCUCUGUUGUCAUGGAUGAACCUGGUGAUGUGUUAUGGAGGAGGAAAAAACAAAAAAGACUCAUCUGAUGAGAAACCACUGCAAGAAUCUCAUCCUGUUCACACAAGUCUGUGCAGCAUGCAUGUAUCAGCAUUUUUUGUGACCAGUGACUUCUCUUCUGAGGGGCGUGAAUUCCAAAUAUGUGUUUGUUGUGACGUGUGUGAACCAUGUGCAUCAUGCCUCUUGUCACAAUACGUGCCUGCUGCACACGCGUUGAAAAGGUUUAUGAUAAAAGAAGCACUCAUGUUCACAAAAUACUCGCAAGACACUAACUUGACACUAAACUGUGAUUACACAGGAGAUUAAGUGAGUAUCAGGCAAACGUGAGCGUAUCUUUUAUCAUAAACCCUUUACAUGCGUGUGCAGCAGAUUUUGACAUCACGUGUGAUGCACAUAAGUUUACAUGACGCGCUGAACACAUAUUUUGAAAUGACAAGCAACACACAUGACGAGCUCAAUGCAUGUGACCAGCUUCGCAACGUGUGCCCUCGAAAAAAAGUCACCGGCCGACACUGACCCAGAUCAUCAAGAUGUUAAAGCUGUUUGGGCUUCAGAGCAUCUUGUCAGCACCUUCUUCCACCAUGUACACAAUUUCUACCAUCGUGAAGGCGUGGCAGAAUGAGAGAUUUGCAGUCACCACAGGCUCUACGAGAAUGCAGCACUGUCCUGUCUUCCACUACACCUGCUCCCCUCUCCAGAGCCAUCCAGAGGAUCAACAAGGAUGAAGCUGUUGGGAUCUAUUAAUCACAGCAUUCACAAUUUAACACAUUAUUA